rnacentral:rRNA from 1 species
AGCGAACGCUGGCGGCGUGCUUAACACAUGCAAGUCGAGCGAAGGUGUUUCAAGGGUAACCUUGAGAUACACUUAGCGGCGGACGGGUGAGUAAUACGUGGAUAACUUACCUCUAGGCCUGGGAUAACCCCGGGAAACUGGGGCUAAUACCUGAUAAGACCCACAUUGUCUACGGACGAAAGGGGUGAAAGGUGGCUGUGCAAACAGCUAUCGCCAAAAGAUAGGUUCACGUCCCAUCAGGCAGUUGGUGAGGUAAUGGCUCACCAAACCAAAGACGGGUAGCCGGCCUUGGCGGGUGAACGGCCACACGGGGACUGAGACACGGCCCCGAC